GGGGGUAUAGCUCAAUUGGGAGAGCAGCAGACUGAAGUCUUUCUAGAUUAAUCUGAAGGUCCCGCGUUCGAUCCGCGGUACCCCCA
rnacentral:tRNA from 1 species